GACGAACGCUGGCGGCGUGCCUAAUACAUGCAAGUCGAGCGGAUGGAUGGGAGCUUGCUCCCAGAAGUCAGCGGCGGACGGGUGAGUAACACGUGGGCAACCUGCCCCUAAGAUCGGGAUAACUUCGGGAAACCGGAGCUAAUACCGGAUAUGAUUAUGUCUCACAUGAGACAUAAUGGAAAGACGGUUUCGGCUGUCACUUAGGGAUGGGCCCGCGGCGCAUUAGCUAGUUGGUGAGGUAACGGCUCACCAAGGCGACGAUGCGUAGCCGACCUGAGAGGGUGAUCGGCCACACUGGGACUGAGACACGGCCCAGACUCCUACGGGAGGCAGCAGUAGGGAAUCUUCCGCAAUGGACGAAAGUCUGACGGAGCAACGCCGCGUGAGUGAAGAAGGUCUUCGGCUCGUAAAACUCUGUUGUUAGGGAAGAACAAGUACCAUAGUAACUGAUGGUACCUUGACGGUACCUAACCAGAAAGCCACGGCUAACUACGUGCCAGCAGCCGCCGUAACAC
rnacentral:rRNA from 1 species